CAGUGGAGGAAAGGACUUUGGGAGUUAGUUGACAGUUCUCCACCAAGAGGUUGCUAUUUCCUGAUGGAUCAGUGUUUUGAGAACUGUGAAGCCAGGGGUGUUCAUCUCCUCUUUGAAUGUAGAUCUUAUCUCAGCUAUUCUUUCUUCUCUUCCUUGGUGUCUGGAAGUUAUAAAUUGGACUUGCUGUUUGCAGAGAGACGAGCGUUAUAAUGAAGACAAACAACAAAGACAAGGCCUAAUGUUGUGACUGUGUGCUGGAACAUUUAGGAAAGGAGAGCUCUGAAACCUGGGAACCUUGGGGGACCCAAGCACGGCUGAUCGGGGCUGGCCAUCUCUCAGUAAGCCCGUUUUUUACUGGUCUUCCAUCUUGGUGAUAACAUUGAGCUUCUGAGCCCUUUGGAAGAACCUGCAACUUUUCAAAGUCAGACCAACAAACUCACCCAAGUGGGAGACCUGAGCUGGGCUAGUUGGCAUAGACCACCACCCACUAGUACGCAAAGGCUAUGGCUGGGGGCCUGCCUUGCAGGGCUACACCAUGGUACCCAGUGUUGAAGAAGCAUCUGUGGGGAAUCCCAAAGGGACAUUGCUGAGAUGUUGCAGGCCUGGAAGUGGAAGACCAGCACAGAGUUGAUUAUUGAUCCAGAGAUGGACACUUCAGAGAAAUGCAACCUUGAUAUUCCAGACUCUACAAAUGAGCAGCUAGACUUGAAUGAGAAAUGCGAUGUUAUCAGUGCACUAAGGUAACCACUGCCUUAAUUCUCAGGGAGCAAUCUAGAAGACUCAGUGUUGCUAUCAUUCAUUAAGC